rnacentral:rRNA from 1 species
AGUGAACGCUGGCGGUAGGCCUAACACAUGCAAGUCGAACGGCAGCACAGUAAGAGCUUGCUCUUACGGGUGGCGAGUGGCGGACGGGUGAGGAAUACAUCGGAAUCUACUUUUUCGUGGGGGGUAACGUAGGGAAACUUACGCUAAUACCGCAUACGACCUACGGGUGAAAGCAGGGGAUCUUCGGACCUUGCGCGAUUGAAUGAGCCGAUGUCGGAUUAGCUAGUUGGCGGGGUAAAGGCCCACCAAGGCGACGAUCCGUAGCUGGUCUGAGAGGAUGAUCAGCCACACUGGAACUGAGACACGGUCCAGACUCCUACGGGAGGCAGCAGUGGGGAAUAUUGGACAAUGGGCGCAAGCCUGAUCCAGCCAUACCGCGUGGGUGAAGAAGGCCUUCGGGUUGUAAAGCUCUUUUGUUGGGAAAGAAAAGCAGCAGGUUAAUACCCCGCUGUUCUGACGGUACCCAAAGAAUAAGCACCGGCUAACUUCGUG